CCUCCGUUGCAAGCGGUGCCAACAUGACGAUGUCUAUGAAUUCACAGCAAAAAAAAAAAUAGCUCCUGAAAUGUAGCACUCUGUUUGAACAAUUCAUAGAGUAAGACAUCUAAAGACAUUAUUUUCAAAUGCGACGUUUUCAAGAACAUGCGCGGCAUUACCUACGAACAUUUCGACUGUUUCUAUGUACGGGUUCAAGGCCUAUCAUAUCAGAAUUUCCAGCUUGCUUGCAUGCUAAUAAAACUGGCCCGCAGUUCUCCAAAAACUAUGCAAAGACGGAUCCCGAAUUUCUCGGUUGUCUGAGAAGGUAGCUUCGACAGCAGCUUUUCUUGCUCAUCGUUACGUUUACCGAAAAUAAUACGGCAAUUUAUUGGAGGAUAAAUGCACCCAGCAUGGUAGGAGAAAAGGCACGUAGAACCUUCGGCUGUCGUAA